AUGGCGAAGCAACAAGGAAGCAGCAGCAGCAAGGGCAUUGGGAACAGGGGAAGCAAGCAGCAGCAACUCAACGAAAAAUGGAUUCAGAUAGAUGAACGAGGUCGAGGUUACCUGCUCCAGCUUGGUUGCCGUUGGGAGGAGAGGCUUCUGCACUUGGGAGACGGCGGCAAAUCCAUAUGGCGGUGGCGGUGGCGACUCCAGGAGAUGGCGGCGGCGAGUCCAGCAUCUGGGAAACCCUAUAUUUUGUGGCGUCAACCAGUCCAGGAGGCUCCCUGUAUUCUGGAAAUGUUAGGACAGUUUAAUCCGGAUUCUGAAGCAAUGAGUACCUGUAAAAAAGCCAGGGCGAAAUCUACAUCUGUUGUGAGUUCAGACAGACUGAGCAGUCUACCUCCAGAGAUAAAGGGCGACAUCCUCUCCCGUCUGAAUGUAGAAGAAGCGGUUAGGACUAGCACCUUAUCAAGUACUUGGAGGGAUGCAUGGACUAAUAUGCCAAAAAUAUUUCUGCGCGAUGGAAAUUUUGCAAGAACCAAGUUCGUCACAUUAGUCGAUAUGGUGCUAUCACUCCACAAGGGAACUGUAGAGAAGUUUGAUAUUUCAGGUAGCAAAACUUACCAUGACGAGUUCAGCAGAUGGAUGCUCAUGCUUUCUAGGAGAUCACCAAGAUCAAUUAUAAUCGAGUUGAACUCAGGGCCAGGGUACGAGAUUCCCUCAUGUCUAUUUUCUAUGGGCGAUUUGGAGCUUCUGCACCUGCAAAACUGCAUCAUCAGCUUGCCCCGGGUAUUCCAAGGUUUCAAGAGAUUAACUCGCCUCAGCCUGAAAAAUUUCUCGUCUACAGACAUGGACAUCCAAAAUCUGGUCUCGUUCUGCCGCGUACUGAUUUAUUUGGAACUAGCUUCUUUUGAGGGCAUCAACCAUCUAACCGUUCAAGCUCCUAAACUGAAACUUCUUUAUGUUGUUGGGGAUGUUGAAGACAUUAAUUUCGAUGCCCCUAAUUUGGAGGUGGCCGCUCUCUUUCUUGAUCAGAAAGCUAUAGCACAUCAUUCUGAUCCAACUGCGCUUCAAAAGGAAAGCUAUGCCAAGCAGUUAGUGGGAAGCCUAAGUGACAUCAAAACCCUUGCAAUUACCGGCUUUUUACUGAGGUAUCUAUCAAAAGGUUGCAUACUCACAAAGCUCCCUGCCGUGUUUGCUCGCCUGGAGAGUAUUUAUCUUGCGAUAUGCUUUGGGGACCAGCGGCAAUUCUUGGCCGCUUGUUCAUUGUUUCAGAAUGCCCCUAACUUAAAGAAGCUUGACUUGUGGAGUCAAUCUUUGAGCACAUGGGAUCAGGAUCAGGCGAGCAUUCCAGAGCUUACCAUGCAAGUGCAAUUGGAUCAUCUCGUAACAGCCAGUGUGAAAGGUUUCAGGGGUGUGGACUGUGAAGUUGGUUUCGUGGAGAAGCUACUGAACUGGGCACCGGCUCUGGAAGAAGUGAAGAUAGAAUGGCAGUGCAAAACAGAGUGCAGCAUGGUUCUUGCCAAGCUAUUAGCUCUGCCGAGGGUGUCUCCCAGGGCCAAGGUCAUUGUUACAUUUUGA
rnacentral:rRNA from 1 species